rnacentral:rRNA from 1 species
AACGAACGCUGGCGGCAUGCCUAACACAUGCAAGUCGAACGAGACCUUCGGGUCUAGUGGCGCACGGGUGCGUCACCCCUCCCAACUUGCCAUUAGGCUCGGAAUAACUCCCCGAAAGGGGCGCUAAUACCGGCUCACGCACUCGGACCAAAGAUUUCCCGCCUUUGGAUGGGCACGCGUUGGAUUAGCUAGUUGGUAGGGUAAAAGCCUCCCAAGGCCCCGAUCCAUAGCUGGUCUGAGAGGAUGAUCAGCCACACUGGGACUGAGACACGGCCCAGACGCCUACGGGAGGCAGCAGUGGGGAAUAUGGUACAAUGGGCGAAAGCCUGAUCCAGGACUGCCGCGUGAGUGAUGAAGGCCUGAAGAUUGUACAGGUCUUUUACCCGGGAUGAGAAUGACAGUACCGGAGGAAUAAGCUCCGGCUAACUCCGUG